rnacentral:rRNA from 1 species
GGCGACAAGACGGAGGAGCAUGUGGUUAAUUCGAUGAUACGCGAGGAACUUACCUGGGCUCGAACGUAAGAUGACUGUAGGUGAAAGCUACAUCUCUUCGGAGCAUUUUACGAGGUGCUGCAUGGUUGUCGUCAGCUCGUGCCGUGAGGUGUCGGGUUAAGUCCCAUAACGAGCGCAACCCCUACCUUUAGUUGCCAUCAGGUAAUGCUGGGGACUCUAAAGGAACUGCCUACGCAAGUAGUGAGGAAGCGGGGAUGACGUCAAAUCAGCACGGCCCUUACGUCCAGGGCUACACACGUGCUACAAUGGCCGAUACAGAGGGCAGCUACCUGGUGACAGGAUGCAAAUCUCCAAAGUCGGUCUCAGUUCGGAUCGGAGUCUGCAACCCGACUCCGUGAAGUUGGAUUCGCUAGUAAUCGCGCAUCAGCCAUGGCGCGGUGAAUACGUUCCCGGGCCUU